AUCUACCUGCCGUGCGAUUCUCUAAAAUUCAAACAAGAACUCGCAUCUCACUACGAAAUUCUCCAUCACUUCGCAUUCGCAAUAGAAUGACCUUGAUUUGGCAUUCUGUAAACACUAAUUUAAAUUACCCUGCCUCGAGCGAAGUGAAGUGACAACGAAGUUUGUUUACAAUACUACUAGGGAUAGCCGUAUACACGCAAAUGUAAAUCGAAGCUUACCGGUUUCAGUUUUUCUUUGUAUUUAGAAGCAUUCUGUAAGAAAAUACUAUGAAUUUAAGCUUUGGUGUCUAAACCACAUCUAAUAUAUCUAAAAAGAAAAUUAAAAGUCAUAUAUUUAUGAAAUUAAUUGUAAUUUCUGGCUGUACGCUAAGUUCCUUUGCGUGCACUGGCGAAUACCAGAAUUAAAAAACAAAAUUUUAAUUGUUUUCAAAACAAUUUCGAGCGGUCGGAAGUUUUUAUUUUGCUUUUUCUAGAUUUGUUGUUACUUUGUGAGUGAAUUUAACGUUAAAUAAAAAUUAUGAGAUUUAAAGAGCGUUCUUCUCAUCCGACAUUGGCGCAAAUAGAGGCAUUGAUAAACGUUUUGGGUUAAAAGCUAGCGAAACAAAAGGAUUAAUCGAAUCUCAACAUGUUCAAUAAGAGAACAAGGAUAUUAAAAAAAUAUAGGAACUAAAUUCUCUUGUCAGUUAAGAUCCAUUCCCGGUGAGAUAUUUAGGACAUGUUAACAUCUAUUUAUGUAUGAUAUAUCUAUCUACUACGUUUUUAUUGAUGUUCUAUUUUAACAGGGCAUGAAGGUAAUUUAUUUGUAUCUCAAAUUCACCAACAAAAAAAUUAUUUUGAAUUAAAUAAAUCAAAUCAUUAACAAUUUAGGUAUUGCAAGUUGGAUUGAUGUUGUUGGAAUGUAUUUAUUGAUGCAGAGGUGACUGUAUCUAUGGUAAAGGGUGUGCAUACUGGUACAGGGGUGGCAGGCAGUGCCAGAGUAUUGACUAAACUGACAUUAUGUUGGCUAAAGGCUGCAUACUCAGCUUAAAAUAAAUGAACAAAAUUUAGGCAUAACCUAUUUUAUUAUAUUUAAGGAACUACAACAGAUUGAAAAUACUAAUCCACAUCAUCAGAAUAUUGUAAGGAGAAUUUAUAGCCAACUCGGAAAAUGUAUCAGUAUUGGAACAAUCGCAAACAUACAGCACCUCAACACCUGACCUGCUAUUUCACCACUUUUACAAUGAAAAGCAGAUUGUACUCAAAUUACUGAGAGAAUUUUGUGGAUAGAGGAACUGCAGGUGAAGAUUCAGGGUGUUCAUAUGUGUGUCGUCCAAAGCAUUUUUGAACACAGUACCAUAUAUAACUUAAUGAAACUUACAACCAUGGGGGAAUGAAUAGUCGACAAUCUGCAAGAAGGAUGAACUGUUGGUGGAAUUAGCAGAUGCAGCUAGCAAUUUUAAACCUGUAUUUCCACAUAAGUUACUGAUGCAAACAAAUUUCAAAACUAUUGUAUAUAACUAUUGAAUAAAACUAU